rnacentral:rRNA from 1 species
CAUGCAAGUCGAGCGGAAACGAGUUAUCUGAACCUUCGGGGAACGAUAACGGCGUCGAGCGGCGGACGGGUGAGUAAUGCCUAGGAAAUUGCCCUGAUGUGGGGGAUAACCAUUGGAAACGAUGGCUAAUACCGCAUGAUGCCUACGGGCCAAAGAGGGGGACCUUCGGGCCUCUCGCGUCAGGAUAUGCCUAGGUGGGAUUAGCUAGUUGGUGAGGUAAGGGCUCACCAAGGCGACGAUCCCUAGCUGGUCUGAGAGGAUGAUCAGCCACACUGGAACUGAGACACGGUCCAGACUCCUACGGGAGGCAGCAGUGGGGAAUAUUGCACAAUGGGCGCAAGCCUGAUGCAGCCAUGCCGCGUGUGUGAAGAAGGCCUUCGGGUUGUAAAGCACUUUCAGUCGUGAGGAAGGUAGUGUAGUUAAUAGCUGCAUUAUUUGACGUUAGCGACAGAAGAAGCACCGGCUAACUCCGUGCCAGCAGCCGCGGUAAUACGGAGGGUGCGAGCGUUAAUCGGAAUUACUGGGCGUAAAGCGCAUGCAGGUGGUUUGUUAAGUCAGAUGUGAAAGCCCGGGGCUCAACCUCGGAAUAGCAUUUGAAACUGGCAGACUAGAGUACUGUAGAGGGGGGUAGAAUUUCAGGUGUAGCGGUGAAAUGCGUAGAGAUCUGAAGGAAUACCGGUGGCGAAGGCGGCCCCCUGGACAGAUACUGACACUCAGAUGCGAAAGCGUGGGGAGCAAACAGGAUUAGAUACCCUGGUAGUCCACGCCGUAAACGAUGUCUACUUGGAGGUUGUGGCCUUGAGCCGUGGCUUUCGGAGCUAACGCGUUAAGUAGACCGCCUGGGGAGUACGGUCGCAAGAUUAAAACUCAAAUGAAUUGACGGGGGCCCGCACAAGCGGUGGAGCAUGUGGUUUAAUUCGAUGCAACGCGAAGAACCUUACCUACUCUUGACAUCCAGAGAACUUUCCAGAGAUGGAUUGGUGCCUUCGGGAACUCUGAGACAGGUGCUGCAUGGCUGUCGUCAGCUCGUGUUGUGAAAUGUUGGGUUAAGUCCCGCAACGAGCGCAACCCUUAUCCUUGUUUGCCAGCGAGUAAUGUCGGGAACUCCAGGGAGACUGCCGGUGAUAAACCGGAGGAAGGUGGGGACGACGUCAAGUCAUCAUGGCCCUUACGAGUAGGGCUACACACGUGCUACAAUGGCGCAUACAGAGGGCGGCCAACUUGCGAAAGUGAGCGAAUCCCAAAAAGUGCGUCGUAGUCCGGAUUGGAGUCUGCAACUCGACUCCAUGAAGUCGGAAUCGCUAGUAAUCGUGGAUCAGAAUGCCACGGUGAAUACGUUCCCGGGCCUUGUACACACCGCCCGUCACACCAUGGGAGUGGGCUGCAAAAGAAGUAGGUAGUUUAACCUUCGGGGGGACGCUUACCACUU